rnacentral:rRNA from 1 species
ACUCAAAGGAAUAGACGGGGACCCGCACAAGCAGCGGAGCAUGUCGUUUAAUUCGAAGAUACGCGAAAAACCUUACCAAGGCUUGACAUCGGAUGCAUUAUCAUGGAAACAUGAAAAGUAGUAGUAAUAUUACAUCCAGACAGAUGGUGCAUGGUUGUCGUCAGCUCGUGUCGUGAGAUGUUGGGUUAAGUCCCGCAACGAGCGCAACCCUUGUCGAAAGUUGCUAACAUUAAGUUGAGAACUCUUUCGAGACUGCCGUGGAUAACACGGAGGAAGGUGGGGAUGACGUCAAAUCAUCAUGCCUCUUACGCCUUGGGCUACAAACGUGCUACAAUGGCCAUUACAAAGCGUUGCCAACCCGCAAGGGGGAGCUAAUCGCAAAAAAGUGGCCUCAGUUCGGAUUGUGGGCUGCAACUCGCCCACAUGAAGUUGGAGUUGCUAGUAAUCUCAGAUCAGCAUGCUGAGGUGAAUGCGUUCCCGGGUCUUGUACACACCGCCCGU